rnacentral:rRNA from 1 species
UACGGGGGGGGGCAAGCGUUGUUCGGAAUUACUGGGCGUAAAGGGCUCGUAGGCGGCCAACUAAGUCAGACGUGAAAUCCCUCGGCUUAACCGGGGAACUGCGUCUGAUACUGGAUGGCUUGAGGUUGGGAGAGGGAUGCGGAAUUCCAGGUGUAGCGGUGAAAUGCGUUAGAUAUCUGGAGGAACACCGGUCGGCGAAGG